CAGAUGCUUCCUGGUAUGCUAAACGACAGUAGAUGCUUCCUGGUAUCCUAUGACGUGAUCACAACAACAAAUCCUAUGCUGUUCUACGAUACACUUUAGCAUGAUUAAUCCUCAUCAUUUUGUCCCAUCACAAUGUCCAAUUUUCGCUUAAGGAAGCAGUGUCAACCUAACUUUAACAGAGUGAUAAGAUGGUUGAAGAACGACGUACGACAGAUUCUUCAUGCUGCUGCGGAUCCACCAUUGUCGCUGAUAACUAGUACUAGUUCGACGUGUAUUCUAGUUCCGACGAACGGUCUGGAUGGAUGCGACUUUUCGUGUUCUUCCC